ACCUAGCAAUAGGUUGAUGGCGACCGGCGCACGGGUGAGUAACACGUAUCCAACCUACCGGUUAUUCCGGGAUAGCCUUUCGAAAGAAAGAUUAAUACCGGAUAGUAUAACGAGAAGGCAUCUUCUUGUUAUUAAAGAAUUUCGAUAACCGAUGGGGAUGCGUUCCAUUAGUUUGUUGGCGGGGUAACGGCCCACCAAGACAUCGAUGGGUAGGGGUUCUGAGAGGAAGGUCCCCCACAUUGGAACUGAGACACGGUCCAA
rnacentral:rRNA from 1 species